rnacentral:tRNA from 1 species
GCCUGUGUGGCUCAGUCAGUUGAGCGUCUGACUUCGGCUCAGGUCAUGAUUUCACAUUUUGUGGGUUCCAGCCUCGCAUCAGGCU